UUGAGGCUGAACAGUACAUCUACAAAGCAUAUGGCAAAACACAAACUGGAUUUUAAGAAGUUACUUCCAUUUUAAUUAUCUGGAAUGAUAGGAAUUUUAAGUGGUUUAGGUUGAUUGACCCUUUAAAAUGAAAUUGACUUGAUUUGGGAACAGGACUCUCUGAGUUAAGCAUGGAAACACAGAACAUAUUCUCAAGUCUCGUACAAGUUUUGUCAUAUACUGACAUUUUGAUCAGCAGUGGUACUUCAGCGAUACGCUGUUGAGAAACAAGUAUGUUCUACUAAGUAAAGCAUCCUGGGAAUGGGAGGAGUCUCCGGCCUAAACCAGUGUUCUUUCCCCUACUAGUUUUGGGGACAGGAUGAGGGGUGAGAAGAAAAAUUAUUCAUGGCUUGGAAGUUGCUUUUGUUGCG